UACGGGGGGGAGCAAGCGUUGUCCGGAAUCAUUGGGCGUAAAGCGCGUGUAGGCGGCUCGGUAAGUCUGCUGUGAAAGUCCAGGGCUCAACCCUGGGAUGCCGGUGGAUACUGUCGAGCUCGAGUCCGGAAGAGGCGAGUGGAAUUCCUGGUGUAGCGGUGAAAUGCGCAGAUAUCAGGAGGAACACCGGUGGCGAAGGCGGGACUCUGGGCCGAUACUGACGCUGAGGAGCGAAAGCGUGGGGAGCAAACAGG
rnacentral:rRNA from 1 species